AAAAAUGCACUUGCUCUCCAUCUCUCUAUAUAAAGAAUUCUUCCAGAAUGAAAUUAUUUUAUAGGGCAAGUGAAAGUAAAUCAAAUUGGUGUAAUACGUCGAUUAUGAUGUAGAGGGUGAUAUGCUCGAGCAUGCUAAUAUAAGAAUGACUGAGUCCUCCUUCAAAAGUGUUCAUAUGUUGCAUGCAAUGGAGGUAAUUUGUGUUAGCUGGACUUUGGAGGCAAUGACUACUGCUUAUGGAAUAUCUGAGCCAAUUUCAACUUCUGGACCUACUGAGUUGGAUGUUUUUCGAAAUUGCAAAUUGGAAAAGAGAAUCGUUCAAAGUAUCGAAACGAACUGGCAACAAUGUAGAAAUUGAAGGAAGCGGCUAGUUCUAGAUCGAAGAAAUCAGGUUCUAAAGCGGCAAGUAAGAAGAAGUUUGAUGAUUCCGGUCGACCACGUCUUCCAAAGAUAUUGAUUAUGAGUUUAUGUAUAAGUUGACAUAUGUAUAAUAAG